CUGGGCGUAAAGCGUGUGUAGGCGGCGUGACAAGUUGGGCGUGAAAGCCCCGUGCUCAACGCGGGGAGGCCGCACAAUACUGUCAGGCUAGAGGGCACCGGAGGGGUGUGGAAUUCCCGGAGUAGCGGUAAAAUGCGCAGAUAUCGGGAGGAACACCGGUGGCGAAAGCGGCACCCUGGGGUGCGCCUGACGCUGAGAGACGACAGCUAGGGGAGCGAACAGGAUUAGAGACCCUGGUAGUCCUAGCCGUAAACGAUGGAUGCUAGGUGUAGGAGUGAAGAGCUUCUGUGCCGCAGCGAACGCGAUAAGCAACCCGCCUGGGGAGUACGGCCGCAAGGUUAAAACUCAAACGAAUUGACGGGGACCCGCACAAGCAGCGGAGCGUGUGGUUUAAUUCGAUGCUACACGAAGAACCUUACCUGGGAUUGACAUAUGGGUGGUAGUGAUCCGAAAGGAGAGCGACCCUUCGGGGAGCCUAUACAGGUGCUGCAUGGCUGUCGUCAGCUCGUGCCGUGAGGUGUCGGGUUAAGUCCCGUAACGAGCGCAACCCUUGUCCUUAGUUACAAGUGUCUAAGGGGACUGCCGGCGGGAAGCCGGAGGAAGGUGGGGAUGACGUCAAGUCAGCAUGGCCCUUAUAUCCAGGGCGACACACACACUACAAUGGUCGGUGCAGAGGGCAGCGAAGCCGCGAGGUGGAGCGAAACCCAGAAAGCCGGUCGUAGUUCGGAUUGCAGGCUGCAACUCGCCUGCAUGAAGU
rnacentral:rRNA from 1 species